UACGAAGGGGGCUAGCGUUGCUCGGAAUUACUGGGCGUAAAGCGCACGUAGGCGGUCUUUUAAGUCGGUGGUGAAAUCCUGGAGCUCAACUCCAGAACUGCCUUCGAUACUGGCGAUCUUGAGUCCGGAAGAGGUGAGUGGAACUCCUAGUGUAGAGGUGGAAUUCGUAGAUAUUAGGAAGAACACCAGUGGCGAAGGCGGCUCACUGGUCCGGUACUGACGCUGAGGUGCGAAAGCGUGGGGAGCAAACAGG
rnacentral:rRNA from 1 species